UGGUGUGGCUGAAAAAAAAGGGGGCUUGAGUUUGCAUGCCAGCAGCAAAUAAAACGCAGCACACACGCACAAAAUGGUAAACAACAGCGGCUUUUGACGGCCAUUGCUUUUGGCCACAAUGGCGCGGCUUUCACAGGGGCUGCGCUGAAGGCGUGGAGGUGGGGGGCUGUUUUCUUUUUUUUUUUUAGCCAAACCACUGACUGCAGUAACUUUGGCAACGUGGCUCUGGCUUCCUUUGGCUUGCGUGCCAAGUGGCAAUCAGUCACGUUGGAAGGCGUUGUCCGCGUGUUGCUGCUGCGGCUGCUUCUGCUGCAUGUUGCUAGUUGCUAGUUGCUGGUGUGCAUGUUGCUGGUUGCUGUGGAUGUUGCUGUUUGUGCGAAUGUGUGUGCGCCAGCGGGCCGGUUUUUUGUUAUUUUUUUGUAUUUUUUUUUGUAUUUUCUGUUCAGUUUCUUCCAAUCCAAUCGCGAAACGCCGCCGCUUCAGCCAGCCAGCCAUCUCUUUCUGACGCGCGAUUUUGCGAUUCCGCGAUUGUUGCCAUUUUGCUGGACGGCACAAAAUGCGUCAUUUCGAGCGAAAAGAAAGCUGCUAAAACAAUUUGAUUCAAAAAUCUACAAUAUUCUAUAGAAAAAAGGAAAAUGGCUUCGAUCAAUCCAUUUUUUGAAUUUGUGGCUACAUACCGUAGAAAACAUCGAGCCCUAAAACAACAACGCGUUAUCGUAUCAAGAGCUGCGGUUUCGUGGAAGGCUUUAUCAAGAUCGCAGAAAGGUCGCUACCGUAAAAAGGCGAGCGAUGAACGCCAUCGGCGUCGUAGAAAUGCUGAUAAGAAAGCCAGGAAAAACCAAUAAUGGCAGUGAUGCCAACGAUGCCGUGCUCUACGCUACCGUUGGCCCCGAAAGAGUAGAGAUUUGAAACGCAAUUCUGCCUGCUGUUCAAAAUUCACAGCUUUGCAUUCGUUAUACCAAAUUAGCAUUUUAUGCACUGCUUUUGUUUUUAUUGGUUUCGAAAUUAUCAUCCUCUGUCUUUUUAGUGAACAAAAUAAUCAGUUUUUUGUCAGAACAUUCCCAAUAAAGGUUCAAAUAUAGAAUGCCAUA